rnacentral:rRNA from 1 species
GCCACGUUGCUCGGAAUUACUGGGCGUAAAGGGUCCGUAGGCGGUGCGGAAAGUCGAUAGUGAAAUCUCUGGGCUUAACCCAGAGGCUGCUAACGAAACUGCCGUGCUAGAGUGUGAGAGAGGCGAGUGGAAUUACGGGUGUAGCGGUGAAAUGCGUAGAUAUCCGUAGGAACAUCCGAGGCGAAAGCGGCUCGCUGGAUCACAACUGACGCUGAGGGACGAAAGCUAGGGGAGCAAACAGGAUUAGAUACCCUGGUAGUCCUAGCCCUAAACCAUCAGGACUUGGGGUUUGCCCUGUACGGGGCAAGUCCCGUAGCUAACGCGUUAAGUCCUGCGCCUGGGGAGUACGGUCGCAAGGCUGAAGCUCAAAGGAAUUGACGGGGGCCCGCACAAGCGGUGGAACAUGUGGUUCAAUUCGACGCAACGCGAAGAACCUUACCUGGGCUUGAACCGCACAGGACCAUCUUUGGAAACAGAGACUUCCCGCAAGGGACCUGUGUAGAGGUGCUGCAUGGCUGUCGUCAGCUCGUGCCGUGAGGUGUUGGGUUAAGUCCCGCAACGAGCGCAACCCUUACUCAUAGUUGCUACCCGCAAGGGAGAACUCUAUGAGGACUGCUCCGGAUAACGGAGAGGAAGGUGGGGAUGAGGUCAAGUCAGCAUGGCCUUUAUGUCCAGGGCUACACACGUGUUACAAUGCGCGCCACAAAGCGUCGCGAACCCGCGAGGGGGAGCUAAUCGCAAAAAAGCGCGCUCAGUUCGGAUUGCAGUCUGCAACUCGACUGCAUGAAGCCGGAAUCGCUAGUAAUGGCGCAUCAGAACGGCGCCGUGAAUACGUUC